rnacentral:rRNA from 1 species
UACGUAGGGCGCAAGCGUUGUCCGGAAUUAUUGGGCGUAAAGAGCUCGUAGGUGGUUUGUCGCGUCUGCCGUGAAAGCCCGGGGCUUAACUCCGGGUCUGCGGUGGAUACGGGCAGACUAGAGUGAUGUAGGGGAGACUGGAAUUCCUGGUGUAGCGGUGAAAUGCGCAGAUAUCAGGAGGAACACCGAUGGCGAAGGCAGGUCUCUGGGCAUUAACUGACGCUGAGGAGCGAAAGCAUGGGGGAGCGAACAGG